rnacentral:rRNA from 1 species
ACCUUUUGACAUGCCUUGAUCGCCACAGAGAUGUGGUUUUCCCUUCGGGGACAGGGACACAGGUGCUGCAUGGCUGUCGUCAGCUCGUGUCGUGAGAUGUUGGGUUAAGUCCCGCAACGAGCGCAACCCUCGCUGUUAGUUGCCAUCAGGUUAAGCUGGGCACUCUAGCAGGACUGCCGGUGGUAAGCCGGAGGAAGGUGGGGAUGACGUCAAGUCCUCAUGGCCCUUACAAGGUGGGCUACACACGUGCUACAAUGGCGACUACAGAGGGCAGCAAUCCCGCGAGGGGGAGCCAAUCCUUAAAAGUCGUCUCAGUUCGGAUUGUACUCUGCAACUCGAGUGCAUGAAGUUGGAAUCGCUAGUAAUCGCGGAUCAGCAUGCCGC